rnacentral:rRNA from 1 species
UCCACGCCCUAAACGAUGUUCACUAGUCGUCGGGAUGCUAGUCAUCUCGGUGAUGCACUUAACAGAUUAAGUGAACCGCCUGGGGAGUACGGUCGCAAGAUUAAAACUCAAAGGAAUAGACGGGGACCCGCACAAGUGGUGGAGCAUGUGGUUUAAUUCGAAAAUACGCGAAGAACCUUACCUAGCCUUGACAUUGAUUGAAUACUUUAGAGAUAGAGUAGUGCCCUUCGGGGAACAUGAAAACAGGUGCUGCACGGCUGUCGUCAGCUCGUGUCGUGAGAUGUUGGGUUAAGUCCCGCAACGAGCGCAACCCUCGUCCUUAGUUGCCAGCAGGUUAAGCUGGGCACUUUAAGGAGACUGCCUUCGCAAGGAG